rnacentral:rRNA from 1 species
GGAGCUUGCUCCACCGGAAAAAGAGGAGUGGCGAACGGGUGAGUAACACGUGGGUAACCUGCCCAUCAGAAGGGGAUAACACUUGGAAACAGGUGCUAAUACCGUAUAACAAUCAAAACCGCAUGGUUUUGAUUUGAAAGGCGCUUUCGGGUGUCGCUGAUGGAUGGACCCGCGGUGCAUUAGCUAGUUGGUGAGGUAACGGCUCACCAAGGCCACGAUGCAUAGCCGACCUGAGAGGGUGAUCGGCCACAUUGGGACUGAGACACGGCCCAAACUCCUACGGGAGGCAGCAGUAGGGAAUCUUCGGCAAUGGACGAAAGUCUGACCGAGCAACGCCGCGUGAGUGAAGAAGGUUUUCGGAUCGUAAAACUCUGUUGUUAGAGAAGAACAAGGAUGAGAGUAACUGUUCAUCCCUUGACGGUAUCUAACCAGAAAGCCACGGCUAACUACGUGCCAGCAGCCGCGGUAAUACGUAGGUGGCAAGCGUUGUCCGGAUUUAUUGGGCGUAAAGCGAGCGCAGG